GAGAGAGAGAAUGAGAGAGAGAGAGAGAGAGAGAGAGAGAGAGAGAGGCUGGCGUGCUAAUGCGGUCCCCCGGUGAGAGUGCAGCCUGCUGGGCCAGAGUUCACCACUAACUGGGGUUAACACGAGCAUGAGGCUGGGAGGAGUGUGGAUGUCCAGUCUCCAGUAAUGGUGUCAUGGUGUACAGGUGUCCAUUGAGGGUGCAGGUGUCACACUCCCCUCACCCCCCCCCCCCCCCCCACCCCUACCCCCCAAAAUGGAGCCCUCUGCUAAAUGCCACGAGCCUUCUCUUUUUAAGACACACUCUUAUGGACGUUGCCGUAGCGACACCCAAAAUGGACCAUUCAUAUCUCCUGGUGUUUGUUGGUGGGUGGGUCUU